GAUGAACGCUGGCGGCGUGCCUAAUACAUGCAAGUCGAGCGAAUGGAUUAAGAGCUUGCUCUUAUGAAGUUAGCGGCGGACGGGUGAGUAACACGUGGGUAACCUGCCCAUAAGACUGGGAUAACUCCGGGAAACCGGGGCUAAUACCGGAUAACAUUUUGAACCGCAUGGUUCGAAAUUGAAAGGCGGCUUCGGCUGUCGCUUAUGGAUGGACCCGCGUCGCAUUAGCUAGUUGGUGAGGUAACGGCUCACCAAGGCAACGAUGCGUAGCCGACCUAAGAGGGUGAUCGGCCACACUGGGACUGAGACACGGCCCAGACUCCUACGGGAGGCAGCAGUAGGGAAUCUUCCGCAAUGGACGAAAGUCUGACGGAGCAACGCCGCGUGAGUGAUGAAGGCUUUCGGGUCGUAAAACUCUGUUGUUAGGGAAGAACAAGUGCUAGUUGAAUAAGCUGGCACCUUGACGGUACCUAACCAGAAAGCCACGGCUAACUACGUGCCAGCCGCCGCUGUAA
rnacentral:rRNA from 1 species